rnacentral:rRNA from 1 species
AACGCUGGCGGCGCGCUUAACACAUGCAAGUCGAGCGAGAACCAGGGCUUCGGCCCUGGGGACAGCGGCGAACGGGUGAGUAACACGUGGGUAAUCUGCCCUCGGUUCUGGGAUAGCCCGGGGAAACCCGGAUUAAUACCGGAUAGCCUCUAGAGCCCUCGGGCUCGUGAGAAAAGGUAGCUUCGGCCUCCGACCGAGCAGGAGCCUGCGGCGGAUUAGCUUGUUGGCGUGGUAACGGCCCACCAAGGCGACGAUCCGUAGCUGGUCUGAGAGGACGAUCAGCCACACUGGGACUGAGACACGGCCCAGACUCCUACGGGAGGCAGCAGUGGGGAAUCUUGCGCAAUGGGCGAAAGCCUGACGCAGCGACGCCGCGUGAGGGAAGAAGGCCUUCGGGUUGUAAACCUCUUUCAGGAGGGACGAAGCCACUCGGGUUAAUAGCCCAGAGGGUGACGGUACCUCCAGAAGAAGCCCCGGCUAACUACGUGCCAGCAGCCGCGGUAAGAC